GUAACUAUGACUCACCUUCUGAGGGUCAUGAAAGCGGCGUGAAAACGUUAGCUAGUGAUCUGGAAUAAAUUCAGAUUGCGACACUGUCAAAUUGCGGGGAAGCCCUAAAGAUUCAACUACUAAGCAGUUUGUGGAAACACAGCUGUGGCCGAGUUAAUAGCCCUGGGUAUAGUAACAAUGUUGAAUAUGAAUCUUUUGCGAGAUGAAAUGGGUGAUCCGCAGCCAAGUCCUAAGGGCAUUUUUGUCUAUGGAUGCAGUUCAACGACUAGAUGGCAGUGGGUAUUGUAAGGAAUUGCAGUUUUCUUGCAGUGCUUAAGGUAUAGUCUAUCCUCUUUCGAAAGAAAGAG
rnacentral:ncRNA from 1 species